rnacentral:rRNA from 1 species
AGCAAUCGCAACCGGUGGCGAGUGGCGCACGGGUGAGUAACGCGUAUGUAACCUACCCUUCUCCGGGACAUAACUCCGCGAAAGGUGGCUAAUAUCCCAUACCAACUCAUCAAGACAUCUUCUUGAGUUGAAAGCAGCAAUGCGGUGAAGGAUGGGCAUGCGUCCCAUUAGCUGGUUGGUGAGGUAAUGGCCCACCAAGGCUACGAUGGGUAGGGGUUCUGAGAGGAAAGCCCCCCACACUGGUACUGAGACACGGACCAGACUCCUAGGGGAGGCAGCAGUAAGGAAUAUUGGGCAAUGGUCGAAAGACUGACCCAGCCAUGCCGCGUGCAGGAUGAAGGCCCUAUGGGUUGUAAACUGCUUUUAGCCGGGAAUAAACACCCGUUUUAUAACGGGCCCGAAGGUACCGGCUGAAUAAGCAUCGGCUAACUCCGUGCCAGCAGCCGCGGUAAUACGGAGGAUGCAAGCGUUAUCCGGAUUCACUGGGUUUAAAGGGUGCGCAGGCGGACAUUUAAGUCAGGGGUGAAAUCCUACAGCUUAACUGUAGAACUGCCCUUGAUACUGAAUGCCUAGAGUAAAGCUGAAGUGGGCGGAAUGUGUUGUGUAGCGGUGAAAUGCUUAGAUAUAACACAGAACACCAAUCGCGAAGGCAGCUCACUAAACUUUAACUGACGCUCAUGCACGAAAGCGUGGGGAGCAAACAGGAUUAGAUACCCUGGUAGUCCACGCCCUAAACGAUGAUCACUCGCUGUUGGCGAUAUAUUGUCAGUGGCUAAGCAAAAGUGAUAAGUGAUCCACCUGGGGAGUACGACCGCAAGGUUGAAACUCAAAGGAAUUGACGGGGGCCCGCACAAGCGGAGGAGCAUGUGGUUUAAUUCGAUGAUACGCGAGGAACCUUACCAGGGCUCGAACGCAGGAGGAAUACUCCCGAAAGGAAGUAGCCAGAAAUGGCCGCCUGCGAGGUGCUGCAUGGUUGUCGUCAGCUCGUGCCGUGAGGUGUCAGGUUAAGUCCUAUAACGAGCGCAACCCCUAUUCAUAGUUGCCAGCAUAUUACGGUGGGGACUCUAUGAAAACUGCCUGCGCAAGCAGUGAGGAAGGUGGGGAUGACGUCAAAUCAGCACGGCCCUUAUGUCCUGGGCUACACACGUGCUACAAUGGCCGGUACAGAAGGAAUCACUAGUGCGGCCGCCUGCAGGUCGACCAUAUG